rnacentral:rRNA from 1 species
AUGCCCUCUUCCCCCAACCAACUAAGGGCAAGCACCUACUCUACUCCUAACAAAAUGAAAAGCAGCGAGCUCCGCAACAAAAGCGAAGCGAGCCGCGCUAGUAGCGCGCAUCCGUUUUUCAGCUGGCUUCAAAUCAAAGCUUGA